rnacentral:rRNA from 1 species
UGCCAGCCGCCGCGGUAACACGUAGGGGGCGAGCGUUGUCCGGAAUUAUUGGGCGUAAAGAGCUCGUAGGUGGCUCAGUAAGAUGGAAGUGAAAUCCCCGGGCUUAACCUGGGAACUGCUCUUAAAACUGUGGAGCUAGAGACAAUCAGAGGUGGGUGGAAUUCCAGGUGUAGAGGUGAAAUUCGUAGAUAUCUGGAGGAACACCGGUGGCGAAGGCGGCCCACUGGGAUUGUUCUGACGCUGAGGCGCGAAAGCGUGGGGAGCGAACGGGAUUAGAUA